CUAGUGUGUGUAAUCGCCAAAUUAGGUCACGGGUUACAGAAAUUCUUGCUCAGAACAAUCCUCAACGUGCUUCCUUUCAGUGAUAAAAGUGAGACUGGUGGGCCAGAAAUCUCCACCCCUCCCCACUCUUUGCUUAUGUGAAUUCCAAAGUAUGUCAAAAGUGUAUAUGACUGCUGUCACAUACGUGUGUGUGCCUUCUGGUGUAUGUGUGCAUGUGGCUCUGGACAUAAACAACUUACUAAAAAAAUUUUUUUUUGUAAAGCAUAUGGAAGAAACGAAGCCUGGAAAACUUUCCCGAGAGACAGAAGGAGAAGAGAGCCUGAAACUUUGUUGAGCUUUUAAGAGGCAUGCGGAUCAUACACUGUCUUCAAAAACACGAGCAAAAUCUAUCCAGCUGAGAACCAAGCUCAAUCAGAUUGCCACCUCAAACUGCAUUUUCGGAGGCGGAGGCAAAAUAGUGCACAGAAAUCAUCAGCUUUGAGGUUUUUACCGGUCCCUACUAGUCAUCAGAAGAAUGAGGAACAGAAAUAGCAGUGAGCACACUGACUGGGCCAAGGAUUCUUUCAUUCAAUAAAUAUUUUUUUAUUAAAAACA